AGAGUUUGAUCCUGGCUCAGGACGAACGCUGGCGGCGUGCUUAACACAUGCAAGUCGAACGGGGCAUAGAGAUAUGCCUAGUGGCGGACGGGUGAGUAACACGUGAGCAACCUAUCCUAUACAACGGGAUAACACAGAGAAAUUUGUGCUAAUACGGUAUAAGACCACACUCCGGCAUCGGAGAGGGGUAAAAGCUGAGGCGGUAUAGGAGGGGCUCGCGGCCCAUUAGCUAGUUGGAGAGGUAACGGCUCACCAAGGCGACGAUGGGUAGCCGAUCUGAGAGGAUGAACGGUCACAUUGGAACUGAGAAACGGUCCAAACUCCUACGGGAGGCAGCAGUGGGGAAUAUUGGGCAAUGGAGGCAACUCUGACCCAGCAACGCCGCGUGAAUGAAGAAGGUCUUCGGAUUGUAAAGUUCUUUAGCGAGGGACGAAAAGAAUGACGGUACCUCGAGAAUAAGCCACGACUAACUACGUGCCAGCAGUCGCGGUAAUACGUAGGUGGCGAGCGUUGUCCGGAAUGACUGGGCGUAAAGGGAGCGUAGGCGGCACAACAAGUUAGGAGUGAAAUACCGUGGCUUAACCACGGAACUGCUUUUAAAACUGUUGAGCUAGAGUGAUGGAGAGGAAAGCGGAAUUCCUAGUGUAGCGGUGGAAUGCGUAGAUAUUAGGAGGAACACCAGAGGCGAAGGCGGCUUUCUGGACAUUAACUGACGCUGAGGCUCGAAAGCGUGGGGAGCAAACAGGAUUAGAUACCCUGGUAGUCCACGCC
rnacentral:rRNA from 1 species